GACGUAGGGCGCAAGCGUUGUCCGGAUUUAUUGGGCGUAAAGAGCUCGUAGGCGGCCUGUCGCGUCGACCGUGAAAACCCGCAGCUCAACUGCGGGCUUGCGGUCGAUACGGGCAGGCUGGAGUUCGGUAGGGGAGACUGGAAUUCCUGGUGUAGCGGUGAAAUGCGCAGAUAUCAGGAAGAACACCCGUGGCUAAGGCGGCUCUCUAGUACGGUACUGACGCUGAGACGCGAAAGCGUGGGGAGCGAACAGG
rnacentral:rRNA from 1 species